CUUAAACACAUGAAGCCAAAUGUCGUCAAGUUAUAAUAUUAAAAACCAUACUUCAAAAUGUAGUUCAUAAACAAAUCCCUGUAAGACACACAGAGAGAAAAUUGACGCCUCCUAACUGCUUCACCAGAAACACUCCAGCGACCACAUGACAGUUAUCAACUUACCCAGUUAAACCCUUUACCACUUAGAUACGUAUUUUGACGCAUUUGUAGUCCCUUUGAAACUUACAUUUUAUUCAGGUCCUUUCUUACUCAAUUCACGUUUUAAAGGCUUCAUUUCCAACCCUUAGUUACUGAUGAGCAGCAAACAGAAUAAAACCUGAACAGACUGCAAGAUACUCACAGGCUGUCCUGGUUUUGUGCUGCUUGCAAAAGGGUUUAUAGCGAAAUGUAUUCAAUGAAGGAAUUUAUUAUAGAAAUAUUUCUGGUGUUGGAAACUUUUAUUUGAAAAUUGUAGGCCGUCAUUUGGGUAAAAAUAUCAUUUGGGGAAAAAUAUACUAAUUUAUAUGCUUUGAGAUUGAAAAUGGGGGCCAAAGUUUGAUCACAAAUAUGGUUAAAAAACACUGUGUUCAUGUAUACAUAAUUAUUCAUAUUCACAAACAAGUCCCUUAGACACAUGAAGCGAUAUUUUGUCAAGUUACUAUAUAACAUUACUAAAUAUCAUACUUGAAAAUUCCGAUGAAAAACAUACAUAAUUCUAUGAACAAGUCCCUUUACGACGCAUGUAGAGGAAGAUGAGGCAUGUUCACAGCUAUAUCAGACACAGUCCAGCGACCAUAUGACAAGUGACAUCUAUAUUUAGAAGCUUUACACACUCCAUAAGACCUAUGACAUCUACAUUUCCAUAUGUCAGGGACUGUCCAGUCAGACAGCUCUAGUGUUAUACAGACAUCCACAAGUCACUGGGUGUGGAGAAUGUGAGAUAUUGUGAGGACAACCUGAGGGCAAUGUGAUGUCAGAAUGUCUGUCAAUGUGACCAACAGUUGAUAGACGUGUUUAAUAUGAGGAAAUAGUAUGAAACUACUGCUGAAACCCUGGCACAUUGCACAGUGCAUGAGUGCUUCAACACACAAUGUCCAUGUCUAUGAACAGACAGACAGGCAGACAUGGUGAAUCUGAUACAUCCCUCAACUCACUGUGGGUUAAAGGGUUUCAUUAAUAUACCUUUAAAGCUUAUUCAAUGCUGCGAUUGUAUGCAACUUACUUUUUAACAUGGAAUAAAUAUUUUGUGUUGUAACAUAUUACGUAGGUUUAAUAAUACAAGAGCACUGCAUAAUAUUUUUUUUAGAGGUCACAAUGACCUUGACCUUUGACCUAGCGACCCCAAAAUGAGUGUGGCGUGUAGAACUCAUCAAGGUGCAUCUACAUAUGAAGUUUCAAAGUUGUAAGUGGAAGCACUUUGAUUUUAGAGCCAAUGUUAAGGUUUUAGCACGACGCGGACGGCAGACGACAAGCUGGCUAUGAACAAGAGCAGUCCGAGGACAUCGCGCUUGACUAUUCGAGUGCUUGACAGUAUAACGUUGGGGUCAUGUUGGUAAACAAGUAUGCAAAAUAUGAAAGCAACAUGUCAAGGGACAAUGAAAAUAAUUGGAGUAGUACGAAAACUUUAACAUUUGCGAGCUAACACAGACGAUCACGCAGACGCUGGGAUCAUCAUUAAACAAAACAAUAAUAUUGUCAACAUUGCGUAUUGGAAAUGGUGUGCUGCCUAGCUACCAGAUCGCCACCAAAGAGACCAAGUACUGGUUCUACCCACGAAACAGACUUGCGAGCGUUUCAAUAAGCCUUGGACUUUUGAUGCAAUUAAGCUCAAAUAAAUAGGUCUACAAUAAACUACCAAUUAUUUCAUAGUUUCUUAGUCAUUUUUCUGGUUUGAAAACUAAUUACUAAGCUUUCUUUUUUGUAUACAUGUAGGUGACUUAAGUAAUUCUUGAAAAUUUGUUAUUGCCAACAUGAGAACAAAUAAAAAUACGCUAACUCACUAACAUUUCCAGCAUCACUAGCAACUAACAUUAAAUAGGAUAAAUAAAUGGGAGGAAAAUCAGGUAAUAUUAAGUGUUCUCCGGAAGCACCGGCAGCUGGGGAUUUCAUUAUUUCUAGAUGCCGACUACUUUAAAAUAUCAAUUGAAAUAGUGGACAUACACCAGUUUUAUUGCUUAGAUGCCGGCUACUUUAAAAAUAUAACUGGCUUCUGAAAUUUUUCUGAACACUGUAAUAUUGCUUCAGGUAGUAUUCAACCAAUAUUAAACAUUAGAGAUUAGAAACAUAGAAUCAGUUUAGUUACUAAAUACUGUAAAAUCAUGUAAAUUUUUCGGCGUGAAAUUUAGUGUUUUUCACAAAUGACCAAAACUAUUUUUGAUAUAAGAUUCUGAAAAUAAAGAGAAAUUUUCCAGGUAAUUUUCAGAAAUGUUUGUUUUAAAUAUGUGGACAGGUCAACUUGAGAAAUCAACGAAAAUUAAUGUCCAACAAAUAAUAAUGAUUUUACAGUAUUAAACAAAACACAAUGCUAAUUUGAAGAAUUGGAAAGCGGAUGAUUGUUGUCAAGGGAUUAUUGCAGAGGGAUUGUUGUCAAGGGAUUGUUGCAGGUUCUCAAGGGAGUAUUGUUGGGGGGGGGAUUGUUUUGCAGACACCCUUGUCUCUUUACUGGCAAGCUGCUUUGGAAGGGGUCUACAAAGGAAAGAUCUAUAGUAACAGAGCACUGAUUUAUGCUCCUUUUUUCUGUCACCCCCAUCCCUACUCUGGACAAGUCAAAAC